UUAUCUACUUUUGCAGCUGAUUCCACAGAUUCUCCGAAGAUUGACGGUUUUUGGUGGGGCUGAGACAUCGAGUACAGCCCGAGCAAAGAGAGGGAACCAUUCCAACUGGAGUAAUUGCUGGAGAAGCAGGGGUUCUUUUUUUCUAUAUAGCAGGUUCUGAGUUUGAGGAAAUAGAGCGGUGCUAAUGCCAGUAAUGUAGGGGAUGAUAGGCCGAGCUAGGACAAGAACAUGGAAGGCUCUUGCUUUUGGCAUUCUUAUUAUGGAUAAGAUGGACGUGAGUUGCUGCAACGUCGGGUUCAAAGAUACCCCAUACCAGUUAUUUAUGUCAAAAAGCAAUUAAGUUGGGUGAAGAAGGAUCGUUUACUCAAGAGAACUACAGUUUGGCAAUUCUUGCCCUUGAAGAUGUUUUUGCAACUUACGUGUGCGCAAAUAACUCCAAUAAGAACCUUAUGGAACCUGGAACAUCAACUGUUUCAGGUGUUUUUAAGGAUCGAAGAGGAUAAUCGAGGCAGAAACAUGUGUACGAUAAAAAAAAA